GUGAAGGCACAGGAUGGUGAAGUGCUUCGCCCGUCAUGCGUCAUAAACGGAUCGUAUUAUGGAAUGGCGCAGAAGAACUAUUGACACAGGACGGGCACGAUCGUUAAAAAAUACAAGGACAGAGGAAGGUUGGGCUAAUUGAUACAAAAGAUGAUGAUUAUGUUUGUGAGUAUUUUUCUAUACCACACCGAAGGCGUGGUAAACCAUCCAAUCCAGUUACAGGGGUCUCCGAUAGUUAUCUUCUCCCUAUCAACUCUAUUGAACAUUUCGAAGCUGAUUGACGAAGCUAACAGAUGCCCUAGCCAAACCGAAAACGGUCUGUGUUCUUGGACUUGGGUACACGAUAUAGAGGAGACUAGAAUACCGAGGAUUAUUUAUAAGGCUGAAAAACUCGCAGAUUCCCCGUGUGAGAGAGACCCCAACAAAGAAUGCAGAAGUGAAAGGAAACAGUUCGACGUCAUGUACCUGACCCAGAAUUCCCUAGGAGUCUAUCAACUUUUACCUCACGUCGAGGAAUUUCCGGUUGCUAUGGUUUGUGCUAAUAAACAAACAGAAUAUGUGGUGGUGAACAGUGAGGACGUUGAUUACAACGUGUUUGACUAGGCAUCUAGCUGUGGCUGUUUUUAAACCAAUCAAGCUUCUUCACUACAUUGAUGUAGGGAGGAUCAAUGUAAUUUAAGGAGGUGGAGUGCUUAGUACUUAAUCUACUCUGAACCCCUCCUCUAAGUUUACACGAGAGAGUAAACAAAAGACAGGGGCGGAUCUAGAAAAUUUCAGAAGACGGGAUGGGGAUGGAUUGCCGACUACAAGAGAACUAUUUUAGUUACAAUUGUUCAACCAUAGAGUAGGGGGGGGGGGGGUCAAACCCCGUAUCCCCCUCCUUCCAGAUCUAUAUAACGCCAAAUUAACAAAUGCAAAUAUUUGUACCUGUCUUCAAAUGAAAUGAAAUAAUAUUCCAAUGUAUUGAAUAUAGAUAUAAUUGAAUUAAAGAUAGACUUGAA